rnacentral:rRNA from 1 species
CAUUAUCGUACAACCGAGGUGCCAAGGGCUGUCGCUGAUCUUCCAGGGUCGUGCACGCCCGGGUGCUCUCGCUCAAUCCAUCUCACCCCUUUGUGCAUCACCGCGUGGGUCCCCCCUUUGCAGGGAGGGCUCGCGUUUUCACAUAAAACUUGAUACNGUCUAGAAUGUUUAUUUUUGCGGUUGCACGCAAUNAAUACAACUUUCAACAACGGAUCUCUUGGCUCUCGCAUCGAUGAAGAACGCAGCGAAAUGCGAUACGUAAUGUGAAUUGCAGAAUUCAGUGAAUCAUCGAAUCUUUGAACGCACCUUGCGCCCCUUGGCAUUCCGAGGGGCACACCCGUUUGAGUGUCGUGAAACCCUCAAAACCCCUUUUUCUUUCACCGGAAUGGGGGAUUUUGGACUUGGAGGUUCGAUGCUCGCUUUCGAAAGCGAAAGCGAGCUCCUCUUAAAUGAAUCAGUGGGGUCCGCUUUGCCGAUCCUUGACGUGAUAAGAUGUUUCUACGUUUUGNAUCUGGCACUGUUUUCUCUGCUUCUAACCGUCUCAUCGACAAAAGAUGGUGCUUCGGUCCCUGUCAUCUACGUUGGCGGGAGGCUGGACCCACAAAGAAAAACCUUGACCUCAAAUCGGGUGAGACUACCCGCUGAACUUAAGCAUAUCAAUAAGCGGAGGAAAAGAAACUAACAAGGAUUCCCCUAGUAACUGCGAGUGAAGCGGGAAAAGCUCAAAUUUAAAAUCUGGU